UACGAAGGUGGCUAGCGUUGUUCGGACUUACUGGGCGUAAAGCGCACGUAGGCGGAUAUUUAAGUCAGGGGUGAAAUCCCGGGGCUCAACCCCGGAACUGCCUUUGAUACUGGGUAUCUCGAGUCCGAGAGAGGUGAGUGGAAUUCCGAGUGUAGAGGUGAAAUUCGUAGAUAUUCGGAGGAACACCAGUGGCAAAGGCGGCUCACUGGCUCGGUACUGACGCUGAGGUGCGAAAGCGUGGGGAGCAAACAGG
rnacentral:rRNA from 1 species